rnacentral:rRNA from 1 species
AUUGAACGCUGGCGGCAGGCCUAACACAUGCAAGUCGAGCGGCUGCACGGUGCUUGCUUCCGCAUUCGGCGGCCGACGGGCGGGUGAUUCCUAGGUAUCUGCCUGUCUGCUGUGUCUAACGUCCUGACGUGGGCGCUCUUACCCUAUUCCUCCAUAGGGCCAACGUGGGGGAUCAUCGGACCUUCCGCCCUUAGGCGAGCCUAGGUCGGAUUAGCUAGUUGGUGGGGUAAAGGCCUACCAAGGCGACGAUCCGUAACUGGUCUGAGAGGAUGAUCAGUCACACUGGAACUGAGACACGGUCCAGACUCCUACGGGAGGCAGCAGUGGGGAAUAUUGGACAAUGGGCGAAAGCCUGAUCCAGCCAUGCCGCGUGUGUGAAGAAGGUCUUCGGGUUGUAAAGCACUUUAGGUGGGGAGGAAGGGCAGUAGGUUAAUACCUUGCUGUUUUGACGGUACCAACAGAAUAAGCACCGGCUAACUUCGUG